AUUGAACGCUGGCGGCAGGCUUAACACAUGCAAGUCGAGCGAGCGGCGGACGGGUGAGUAAUGUCUGGGAAACUGCCUGAUGGAGGGGGAUAACUACUGGAAACGGUAGCUAAUACCGCAUACCAUCAGAUGUGCCCAGAUGGGAUUAGCUAGUGGGUGGGGUAAUGGCUCACCUAGGCGACGAUCCCUAGCUGGUCUGAGAGGAUGACCGGCAACACUGGAACUGGAACACGGUCCAGACUCCAACGGGAGGCAGCAGGGGGGAAUAUUGCACAAGGAGGGAAAGCCGGAUGCAGCCAGGCCGGUUGGAGAAAGAAGGCCUUCGGGUUGUAAAGUACUUUCAGCGGGGAGGCGUUACCCGCAGAAGAAGCACCGGCUAACUCCGUGCCAGCCGCCGCGGUAAUAC
rnacentral:rRNA from 1 species